rnacentral:rRNA from 1 species
CACAGUUCGGGACCCCCUACCCGGGAUCUACAGGUUUUGACACCGACAGGCGGUUCGGCACCCCCGAAGUCGCGAGAAGUCGAUUAAACCUUAUCAUUUAGAGGAAGGAGAAGUCGUAACAAGGUUUCCAUAGGUGAACCUGCGGAAG